AUGAAUGAAGUACCUACAAACUUUCCCGUGGACACUGUGAAACUUCGCAUAGAAAAGACCGUUAUCCGUAGGAUCCCCGCUGAGGCCUUCUACUACCUGGUGGAGCUCCAGUACCUCUGGCUGACUUACAAUUCUGUGGCCAGCCUUGACAUCAGCAGCUUUUACAACUUAAAGCAUCUACAUGAGUUGCGCUUAGAUGGAAAUUCUCUGACGGCUUUCCCUUGGACAUCUCUGAGGGACAUGCCCCGUCUGAGGACCCUGGAUUUGCACAAUAACAGAAUGACCAGUGUGCCAAAGGAGGCAGUCAGCUACCUGAAGAACCUCACCUACUUGGAUUUAUCAAGCAACAGAUUAACCACACUGCCACCAGAUUUCCUGGAAAGCUGGUCCCACUUAGUGACAGCAUCAUCCAGAAGCCUGGACCUUCCACCAAGAAGAAUUAUUCUCGGUCUGCAGGACAACCCAUGGUUCUGUGACUGUCACAUUUCCAAAAUAAUGUCAUUGUCAAAGGUCGCUGACCCUGCAGUAGUACUUCUUGAUCCGAUGAUGGUGUGUAGUGAACCGGAACGCCUCUCGGGGAUUUUGUUUCAGCGGGCUGAGCUGGAGCAGUGUCUGAAGCCAUCAGUGAUGACCUCGGCUACCCAGAUCACAUCUGCUCUGGGCAGCAAUGUCCUGCUGCGGUGUGAUGCCACUGGCUACCCCACCCCGCAGCUCACGUGGACCAGACCAGAUAGUUCACCAGUCAAUUAUACAGUAAUUCAGGAAUCUCCAGGGGAGGGAGUCAGAUGGUCCAUAAUAAGCUUGACGGGCAUUUCUUACAUGGAUGCUGGGGAUUACAAAUGUAAGGCCAAAAACUUGGCUGGGAUGUCAGAAGCUGUGGUCACUGUGACAGUGGCCGGUGAUGUCACAGCCACCGUCUCAUCAGAUGAUUCUGAAAGAAGAACUGGGGAUCACCCUGAACAAGAGGUCCAGCCGGGAUCUAGAGGCCCUGCACCUCUGCCUGGCUCACCAUCGUCUCCCUGGCCUUAUUCCUUCUCUUCCACUUUUCCUCCUACUUCAGCUUCAUCUCCUCCCUCCACUGCUUCCUCCUCCUUGUCUCCUUUCUUCUCCUCCACUGCUUCUUCAGCUACAGCUCCAAGCACUAAAAUAUCCACAAGCACCACCAUGGCUAGCCGACAGUCGCUCAGCCCAGAUGGGAAAAGAAGUGCUAAGGCAGAGAUGGGUGGCGGGAAGCUUCCCCCAGCGAGUGCAAGUAGAAGAGAAGAGUUGGCACUGUUGGAUCGAGCCCUGCGGAGGGAAGCGAAUGCCACAAUAGAAAACCUCCAGGUCGUCAGCGAAACAGAAGAAAGUGUGAUUUUGACAUGGGACACCGUUAACACCACCCAGAACUCGGAAGUGACCGUGUUUUAUUCCAAAUAUGGUGAGAAGGACCUGCUGCUGCUUAAUGUGAACUCCAGCAAGAACCGAGUCACCAUAAAUGGCUUGCUGCCUGGUUGGCAGUAUAUAGCAUGUGUCUGUCCAAAGGGAAUGCCUCCCCAGAAAGACCAGUGUAUCACCUUUUCUACUGACAGAGCUGAAGAAGGAGAUUCUCAAGAGUCUCUCCUGAUGGUGGUGAGUGGUGCUGCCUGCGUUGCUGUCUUGCCGUUGAUUUUUUUCCUGUUGUACAAAGUUUGCAAACUUCAGUGUAAGCCAGACUCCCUCUGGGAAGACGAUUUGGCAAAAGAGACUUAUAUCCAGUUUGAAACGCUGUCCCCCAGGUCUCAAAGUGUAGGGGAACUGUGGACGCGAAGGCCCAGAGCCGAAUCAGAAAAACUGCUGCUUUGCUCUAGGUCAAGUGUGGAGUCUCCUGACUAUUAAAAGUGAGGAUUCUGGAUCGGAGUAUUAUUGCUAAGGUUUUACAGCUCAGGCACAUGUGAGCUCCACAGAAUUUCUUUCACAAAAUUAAGGAUAUAGGGGUAUAGUUGACCCUCUGUUUGGAUGACUUUUGGACGCUUUUCACAUCCUUUAUGAAAAAAAUCACAGAUGGAGUGCUUUUAAGUGUGUUUAAAAAAAUCAUGAGACUUCUGAACUGAAAAGACAAAUAAUUUUGAUUUUUUUUCCUGUAGGAAAAUGUCCAUAAAAAUCAUUUUUAGGGUAGUGCUAAGUCAGUUAAUAAUAUGUUUUAGGAUAAUGCUUUCGUUCUUAAAAAUAAAUUCAUGUGAGAAUAGUCA
rnacentral:lncRNA from 1 species